CUGCCACAAGCCGCGGUAAUACAAAAAGGUGCAGCGUUACUCGGAUUUCCUGGGCGUAAAGCGUGCGUAGGUGGUUGUUUAAGUCUGUCGUGAAAGCCCUGGGCUCAACCUGGGAAUGGCGAUGGAAACUGGACGACUAGAGUGUGGCAGAGGGUAGUGGAAUUCCUGGUGUAGCAGUGAAAUGCGUAGAGAUCAGGAGGAACAUCCGUGGCGAAGGCGACUGCCUGGGCCAACACUGACACUGAGGCACGAAAGCGUGGGGAGCAAACAGGAUUAGAUACCCUGGUAGUCC
rnacentral:rRNA from 1 species